rnacentral:sRNA from 21 species
GUUUCAAUGCUAUACAAAAAGAGUAAGCAAGUUUAUGGUGGUGGCUAGCUCUUUCAACAAGAAAGGGUGAUGCCUAUGAAUAUUUUUGUUAGGAUUGCCUGGAAAGGAUAACCCAUGACCGUUUAUGAAGCACUGUCUUUUGCAGUUGCUUUUGCAACCCUGGUGUUGCUAUUGAACAGUCA